UACGGAGGGGGCAAGCGUUGUUCGGAAUUACUGGGCGUAAAGGGCGCGCAGGCGGCUGCUCAAGUCAGGCGUGAAAGGCCUGGGCUCAACCCGGGAAUUGCGCUUGAGACUGGGCUGGCUUGAGUGCGGGAGAGGAUGGUGGAAUUCCCAGUGUAGAGGUGAAAUGCGUAGAUAUCUGGAGGAACACCGGUGGCGAAGGCGGCAUCCUGGACCGAUACUGACGCUGAGGAGCGAAAGCCAGGGGAGCAAACGGG
rnacentral:rRNA from 1 species